UAUCACUGAGCGACGGUCUGCCUGUCUGGAAAGACUGCUGCUCACAUAUGGAAGCUAGUUCGUGUCAGCAGAAAGACAGGUUGUGUGAUGCUUCGUCUUCUUUUCAUUCAACCUGGGCGCUGGCGGAGAGAUCUAUGGAUGGGACGGGGAGUGGAUUCCACACAUGGCAUGGACAAGACUUUCUUAACUGUUGGACACCUGUGAUGGAGUUCAUCUGGAGGCUUGGUGGCUGGUUGCCAUAGGCGGG